UUCCUCUAAAUGCAAUUACGAUAGCAUUAAGAUCUUUUGCCACUCCAACAAAGCCCUGCAGUGGUUAGGCAUACUAAACAAAUAACAAGAUAAGACCGAAAAGGAGAUGCUAAUUUAAAUGCCAGCAUGCUAAGAUCAUGCAACUGUAAGCAAUGCUGAAUGUCAACAACUAACUCUAUGACUUCAAAUCCCUAUUUCCAUUUAAAAAAACACCAAUCUAGUUGUUUUAGUAGGAAAAGUGGCAAAAUACCAUCUUUUAGCAUUUACAAAACUUAAUACCGACUCUUGCAAUCACCUAAACAUAGGGAGCGGAUAAUAUCAACCUAGAUAGGUUGAUCAAACCAUCACAUCUUGCGCAUGUCCAAGUAAAUAAAUCUGUCAAAUUUGCUGCGUACACCUGCAAGAGCAAAAGCUUCUUUGGGUCACCAAUUUCAUGUUACAGAAUUUCUUGGCUAUAUUAUCUGAUGCUAAAAGUCUUAGCAGUUGCAUUAUAAAGAAAACUAAGCUCAUCUUAGUUCAAGCAACACAUAACUAAGGAAAAUUGCAUAAUCUAGUCUAAUUAUUUUGGUAGAAUGCAGCACUGCGUUUAGGGUUUCUUCGAGACAAAUUGAUAAAGACGAAGGAGAAUAAUCGAAGGAUUCGCAGAUGAAGGGGGAGAAGAAGGAGGGAGGGGGGCAGAUUCGCGUAGAGUAGCGUCUGAGAUGCUUCUUAUGUGGAGAAGGAUUCGUAGAUGGAGGGGGCAGAUUCACAGCUUUUAGGAAUUUGAUUCGUGGUGUUCGCGUCGCCUCUUUCGUGGGGGAUUUGUUAUUCGCAGAUUGAGGGGAAGCAGCAUCUGAGAUGCUUCAGAGGGGAGAUGAAUUCGCAGACGGAGGGGGCAGAUUCAUGGUGUUUCCGUCGUUCGCCUCUUUUAUGGGGGAUUCGGCUGAGUAGAUGGAGGGGGAGAAUAACUCAAAGUCAUAGGACCGUUUACGUAAACCUAGUCAGCCACGUCAGCUGGUGUGUGGUUACUGUUAGAGAUUAGACCGGCUUCGGAGUAGAUUUAUUGAAAUAAAAAUGCCGAAAAGCUAUAAAACCGAUGUUUUGUGCAACGCUUCACUAAAAUCUCUCAGCUCCACAGUCUGAAAAAUCCAUGGCCUCGUUCUCCAAUCCCACCCACCCAUUCCCACCGUCGUUCAAUCGCGGACCCACUUCAAAAGCCGUGCCUGCGCUAUCACAACCCAUACCCAUACCCGGACCCAAACCCAAACUCCCCUCUCCUUCCUCUCCUUCUUCUUCCAUUACCUCUAAUACUAACCCGGAGAAAUCAAAUGCAUUAACUGUGACUGAUAGAAGUGAAACAAGAGUAAGAGACAUAGAGAAGCUAAAGAAGCGCGAAGCUAGGGAGAGGAAAGAGGAGGUAAAUAGUAAAAUAGCGUCGAAGAAAGCAAUCUCCGUGAUACUGCGGCGAGAGGCCACCAAGGCCCUCAUUGAGAAGAAGAGGGGCCCCACCAAUUCCAAGAGGCUGCUUCCCAGGACUGUGCUCGAAGCUCUUCACGAGAGAAUCACCGCUUUGCGCUGGGAGUCUGCUCUCAAGGUUUUUGAAUUACUACGUGAGCAGCUCUGGUACAGGCCCAACUCUGGAGUGUACAUCAAGUUAAUUGUGAUGCUUGGAAAAUGUAAGCAACCUGAAAAAGCUCAUGAACUCUUUCAAGCGAUGAUUGAUGAAGGCUGCAGUGCAAGCUGUGAAUCCUAUACUGCUUUGUUAUCUGCAUAUAGUAGGAGUGGUCUCUUUGACAAUGCAUUUUCCCUCCUCGAGCAUAUGAAGAAUACUCCUGAUUGUCAGCCUGAUGUGCAGACUUACUCAAUCCUCAUAAAAUCAUGCCUACAUGAUUUUGCCUUUGACAAAGUGCAGGCCUUGCUUUCAGACAUGGUGGCUCAUGGAAUCACACCAAACACGGUCACAUAUAAUACUUUAAUCGAUGCCUAUGGGAAGGCUAGAAAGUUUGCAGAAAUGGAAUCGAUACUUGUGGAAAUGCUCCAAGAACGGGGUUCUGAACCUGAUGUUUGGACAAUGAACUCCACACUCAGAGCCUUUGGCAGCAGUGGGCAGAUUGAAACAAUGGAGCAGUGUUAUGAGAAAUUUCAGAGUGCUGGGGUCCAACCAAACAUUCAGACAUUCAACAUUCUCCUAGAUUCCUAUGGAAAAGCUGGAGAUUAUGGAAAAAUGAGUUCUGUAAUGGAAUACAUGCAGAAAUACCAUUACUCUUGGACGAUUGUUACCUACAAUGUGGUGAUAGAUGCAUUUGGGAAGGCCGGAGAUUUGAAACAGAUGGAGUAUUUGUUUAGGCUAAUGCGAUCAGAGAGGAUCAAACCAAGUUGUGUUACACUUUGCUCGCUUGUAAAGGCUUAUGGGCAAGCUGGUAAACCUGAAAAGAUUGGUGGUGUUUUGCGUUUUAUAGAGAAUUCGGAUGUAGCAUUGGAUACCGUGUUUUUCAAUUGUUUGGUGGAUGCUUAUGGGAGGAUGGGAUGCGUUGCAGAGAUGAAGGAAGUUCUUGACAUGAUGGAGCAGAAAGGAUGUAAGCCCGAUAGGAUUACAUAUAGAACCAUGAUUAAAGCUUAUUCUAUUAAAGGGAUGACUACCCAUGUGAAGGAGCUCCAAAAUCUGAUUGGAUCUGCUGACAAGACUCCGCCAGAGAUGGGGAAGCCCGACUUUCGAUGAAAAAUUUUACAGCCCUCAGUUCUUUUUGGGGAGAUGUGAGAAGGAAGCUUUAGUGGCCCAUCUCAUGGGGAGAGCUGGUGAUCUAAUCCAAUGGAAUGUGAGCUUUACCAGGGCGGCCCAAGAUUUGAAAACUGACAGCUUUGAGGAUCUCUUUAGACUCUUGUACUCCAUGAAACUAGGCCUCUAAGGAUCUGAUACGUUGUGGUGGGUACCUGCAGGUCUCGAUUCGUUCUUUCUAUAAGUCACUCACACAAUCGCUUAACAAUCACUUUCCAAAGCUACAUUCUUUGCUUGGAUAGUUUCUCUGGGUAAGAUUUUGACGAUGGAUAAUUUAUGGAAAUGUAGGGUGAUUAUAGUGGACCGGUGUUGUAUGUGUAAAAAAAGUGAAGAGUUUGUAGAUCAUCUUCUACUAUAUUGUGAGGUUGCUAGAGUGUUAUGGGAAGAUGUAGGGUGUGUUAUGGGAAGAUGUAGGGAAGAUGUUAUGGGAAGAUGAGAUGAGAGAGGCACUUGGUUGAAGAUCUGUUGCUGCUGUGAAGUUUCUUCUUCUAUGCACUAGCCAGAUCUUCUAUAGGCAAUUUCCUCUGACUUGGGGGGGUGGGGGGGCAACUUGAGCUUCUGGUAACGCGGGGGGGGGUGGUAACGGGUAUACGUCCAAUUUGAGUUUGUAUAUGUCUUGCAGGUGAACUCCUCUGUGAAGCUACAAAAUAUAUGGUCAUCAUUUUUAUUGUUGUCUUGACAAUGUAUGGUAGGAAAAUGCAGUAGUACUGAUUCUCCA